GAUGAAGAGAGGAGAAUGGGAGAGAGGGGGGGGGCGGCGUUGGAGGGGAUCGUCGGAGAGGAGAUGGGCGCCGAGGUCCGGCCGGCCGCGGAGGAAGACCACUUUCCUUCGGUGAAGAUCCCCACGGGUGAAGAGACCUUGGAGCCGUGCGCAUUAAUCCGAGCUGCUCGCGGACUUUCUCCACCGAGUCCUCGCCGGAAGGGUCGCCGGAGCACUUCGUCGGACCGAGGGAAAGAGUCAGCGGUGCCAGGAGGUUUUGAUCAGGGGACUCAGCACCCUAGCUCGUAGGUUGUGAUCCAGAUCUGUAUUUGAGUCUGUCUACAAUUUCGAGUUGCAGGAUGCAUAGAUUUGGAUGGGAUGGGUGCAGAGUGCGAAUACCAGAGUUAUUAGUUAGUUAGUUUGUUUAUCCUUCUUUGAUGUCGAUGAACAUUUGAAGGAUCUUGUAAUUGAACCAAUUUGU